GAGCGCCCGGCCUUGGACCCCGGAGCUCGGCUCCUUCCUGCAGGGCGCGGGCCGGGGCAGCCCCUGAGCUCGCUGGGCCUGACCUCCCCGGUGAAGCAGGCGCUUCCUGGGCGCUGUUCGGAGCUUCCGGCCCUUUGACCUCUGUGUUGUCUCCGCCGCCCGGCUCAGGUUCUAAAAGCAGCACUGUCUGAACUGCUCCAAAAUGCUAGGCAGAAACCAGCCAGCUAUGCUAGUCUCCAAAGGCCUCCACGUUUAUCCACAGAGGGCCUGGAAGACUCUUGAACUAAACACGAGAAAAACAGCUGACGUCACCCUGUCUAAAGACAUGGUCAGGAAAUUCCCUUGUUCCUGGGCGAGGAGAAGCUGGCUCAUGCCAAGUGAAGACAAGCAGCUGCCACCCUCUGAGGGCACCAUUCUAAGCGCUUUACCGGUGGCAACUCAUGCAAUGAUUCUGAGAGCUGAUGUCAUGUAUGCCCCCAGUUUACAGCCUGGAAAUUGGAGCACAGUCCUGGUGGCAGUGAAUAAGUGGGGAGCAGGUAUGUGAACCCCGGGCAGGCAGAACCCACGCUCUACCCACUGGGCGUCCAGCCUCUCCCGGAGACUGUGGCUCGCCCAUGUUGCACCCUCUAGCAGCCCCUGCACCCCAUGGGCACCUUGACCCAGACCCCAAAGACCAGCGGUUGCAGUGCAUGUGGGCAGCCGGGGAGCAGCCGCCUCCCAGGCAGAGGCCAGGUCCCAGGCCCCAGGAGGUAGUGGCCAGCAGUGGGUCUGCUCCAGCGGCUCCUGCUUCAACGCGGGUCCCGGGUUUUCUCAUGUGGCUAAGAUGAGGGUUGGCCGGGAAGGUCAGCCCGGGGGGGCGGCCAGCCGAGGCUUUCUAGAAGUCCGAGGCUCAGGGAGCCUGUAGCGGGCACCUGACUGGCUUCCUCAGAGGCCACUGGGCACAUGGCUGGAUGCCUGGGUGGGAAGGGAGCAGUGGUGGCCAGUGUCCUUGGGGUGACCUGGCCAUCUCGGGUCUGGGGUGCCAUGACGUGCGUCUAACCUCCUUCAUCCUUGGCUGGGGAAGGAGAUGCCUCGGGGAGAUCCCGGUUCUCUCAGUGCCCAGCGAGGGGCUCAGUGGCAGGGCCUGGUCUCCCGCAGUCCUCACCUCCCCUGUGGCUGAGAGGCCAGGCGCCGACCUUGACCUGGAAGGGGCAGGACAGCCCACCCCAGGCCCCGCCCGCCUCCCCCUCUGCAGCCUCGCUCGACCCUCCAGCCGCGAAGCUCCAAAGAGGAGGAACCGCCAGUGGGUGAAGCCAUUGCUGCCCGUCGGAUGCAGUCUCUCCAAGCCUCGGUUUCUCUCUUUCCAUGCUAACUUUCCCUCUAUUAGCGAGCAUUUUUAAAAAGAAGGAGAAAAAGGGGAGAGAGAAAAGAAGGAUAAAGGGAAAGCAGAAUGCCUGGAAGGCCUCUCCAGUCGCUGCUGCUGAAGGUCUGAUCUCAGUAGCUGGACAUUGGAGGACACUGGAGGGGCGACAAUUCACUUCAAAACUGCCUGUCGGGUGGAGUCUGCCGCGGGGUGGGAGAGGAGCCGGGCGGUGGGUCUGGUCUGGAGGGGGCCUCCGGCUCAGGGGCUGCCCCUCCACCCACCUCCCAGCCCUGGGUCCUGCCCCCCGCUACACAGGGGAGCUUAUGAAUUCUGGUGGCUCCUCCUUUCCUCCUUCUCUGAGGGGUUCUAAGGCAGAGAAAAAAGGUACAGACCCAGCCAGGAUCAGGUGGGAGGCCGGGUCCCAUCAGGGCCUGGUGGACGAGGGGACGGCGAAGGGUGGACGACAGACCUGACGAGGUGAAAGGACAUGCAGCUGGUUCUGGUGGUCUGGGACUGGAGGCUGCAGUCCUCAGUUUACCUAGGAUUUCACUGAUUUCACUUCAGCUCCCCUAACGUGCCUGCAGAAAUGCCCUCGGAGUCCCCAGGAGGGACCCAGGCCAGCUCUCCUGGAAGAUGUGGAAGAUGACCCUGGCUUUCUUCGCUUCCCCCGUCCAACCUCACACACACACACACACACACACACACACACACACACACACACACACAAGGCUUUACUGAUAGCCUAUUUGUCAUACUCUUUUCAUUCUCCCUCUAGCUUGGUGGCACAAGGUGAGCUGAAGGAGAGCUGUCUGGGGGAGGAUAAUGAAGGGGUGGGUGUCAUGGAAACCAGCUGGAAAGCCCCCGAAAGCUGGAGCCAGCAAGAGAGGCGGCUCUGCCCUGGGUGAGCCCCUCGGACCCUCUCCCCAGUGCCUGGGGCUUCCUCUCACCCUCCCCUCUCCUCCACCUUCUCGCCUUUUAGUCUCCGGCCCAGCUCAGGAAGCUGCUGCAGGUCGUUUGGAUAAAGGUGCUAGUGAUGUUUAAAACUAUGAUGCCGUCAGGCUCAUUUCCUGUUGCUCUUUCAGGCAGAAAAUGGGAUUAUGAUAAGCAGAGUGACGCUGGAGAAACGACUUAUUUUUAGUCGCAGAGGCUGUCUUCACCGUUACCUGCAAAUCCAAGAAAUCCUCGUGGGGGCUGAGGCUGGGCACACUUGGGGGGUUUCCUCCGGCCGGUGGUUCCCUCUUCUUGCUGCAUCCUUGGUUCUCUCACGCGCGACUGCACACUCUCCUGGGAUGCCAUCUGAUCCCGUGACACCAGCACCCCACUUGGGCUGACAGCUCCUGGUCUGCUUCUGAGAGCCAGCCCCGUGCAGCCAGCGCUCCUCCUGCCGUUUCUGCUCAGAGGCGUCCAAAGUGCGUCAUGCUCAGUCCAGCUGGAGAGGACCUGGGAUCCCUUCCCCCCAAAUUGUUUUCUCUCUUUCCCUCAUGGUCCCUGGCUUCGUGCACGCCACUGCCUCAUCCACCCAGACUUCAACCCAAGUCAGGCCGCCCCCAACCACCCAGCAUUCCCGGCCACACGGCAGGCACUACCUGGGUAUUCAGAGCAAAACCACUUGAAGUCAUUUAGAAAAAUAAAA